UACGUAGGGGGCUAGCGUUGUCCGGAUUUAUUGGGCGUAAAGAGCGUGUAGGCGGCCAGGUAGGUCUGCUGUGAAAACUCGAGGCUCAACCUCGAGACGUCGGCGGAAACCAUCUGGCUAGAGUCCGGAAGAGGAGAGUGGAAUUCCUGGUGUAGCGGUGAAAUGCGCAGAUAUCAGGAAGAACACCCGUGGCGAAGGCGGCUCUCUGGGCCGAUACUGACGCUGAGGAGCGAAAAGCGUGGGGAGCGAACAGG
rnacentral:rRNA from 1 species